CAACUGCUGUUGAGUCAAG
rnacentral:snRNA from 1 species